rnacentral:rRNA from 1 species
CAGUCGCCGCGGUAAUACGAAGGGUGCAAGCGUUAAUCGGAAUUACUGGGCGUAAAGCGUGCGUAGGCGGUUUGUUAAGUCUGCUGUGAAAUCCCCGGGCUCAACCUGGGAAUGGCAGUGGAUACUGGCAAGCUAGAGUGUGUCAGAGGAUGGUGGAAUUCCCGGUGUAGCGGUGAAAUGCGUAGAGAUCGGGAGGAACAUCAGUGGCGAAGGCGGCCAUCUGGGACAACACUGACGCUGAGGCACGAAAGCGUGGGGAGCAAACAGGAUUAGAUACCCGUGUAGUCCCUGUCUCUUAUAA